AAACUAAAUUCUUGUCAUUAAUUCACCAUGUCAUAUCUUGUCUUCCUUGGUUUCUUCCUCCUCGCAUCCAUAACAACAUCAUCCGGACAAAGAUGUCAUGCAGACAAUAACGUCUUCACUCCUGCUGCAAAAUGGCCGAGGGGUCAUAGAGUGACGUUCUACCUCAAUCCGGGCUUCACUACGAUUCCAUUUUACAUCCGCAAAAGGAUAUUUACAAAGGCUUUCGAUACAUGGG
rnacentral:lncRNA from 1 species